CACAUAUAUCCAAAUAAUCAUCUAAACUUUAGCUAGAAAAUAAUUCUAAACUAAUAAUUACUUACUACUCCAAUUAAGUGUAUAUCAACUCUUUUAUGCAAUUCAUCAAACAAACACCUUGUGUGCGUGCUUUUGUGAGAUAAACCACUUUAGUAAAGGGUUAUAUCAACUCACCUCCAUUUCUCCUUUCAAGCAACAAUGUAAGUUCCAAUUCUUGUAAUCAACUCAACGAUCAAAUACU
rnacentral:lncRNA from 1 species